CGCACCGUACUCUCGGGAGUUCUCCUCCCUCUUUUCUCCUCCUGCUCCUCCUGAUCUCGGCGCUUCCAUUUUGCCAGCAAUUUUUUGCGCGCCGAUCAAGCCAAGGGCGCGCGCUAGAUCCUCGCCGCAUCGCAAGGAUCCUCGCGCGGAACGGCGAGUGACCGAGAUUCGCGUUCGGCGUCGAUUGUCUCUCCAGAUUCGUCUUUGUCCUUCGUUCGCGUCAUCGAUUUUGCGGGGAAGAGAAAAUAAAAUUUUUCUAUAGUUUCGCAGAUUAAGGAUUAAGACGAAGGAGCCUGCCUUGCUUUCUUUGGCUUCGCACAUCUUAGAAGCUCGGUGCGCGCUCGUUUCGACGAAGAAGCGACACUUGCCCUAUCGGCGACGGUUUUUGUGUACUCCGUUUUCCAACGAUUCUCCGCGAUAUCGAGGGCGUCGAUAGCGAUUUAAUGACGCUCGAUAUAAUUUACGACGAUAAAUGUUCGUCACAAAACAGAAGGGGAACAGCCGAGGCAUUUCGAGAAAUAGUAAGCGGCCCUCGUGCUAUCUCCUCGACGAUGAGGACGACGAAGACGACGAUCGCGACAGGGUAAUCAAGUCCCGAUUAUCUUUUUGUCGCCGCUGCUUCUUUCGUAAUCGAAUAGCCCGCAGUUUAUUCGAGACGACAACGACGACGAGGAUGCUGAUCAGGGUGCUAAACAGAGAACACUGUUGAUCGUAAGGCGCGCAUGCAGCGGCAAUAAAACGCUCGUCCUUGUCGCCCGUGUCCUCUAAAGACAUCCUUACUCAGGUUUAAUGGAACGCACUAAGAAGGGUAACGACAGUCGCGACUGAUGUCUCCAAUGGUUGCCGAGAGCUAGAUGCAAGCGAGCGGGACGCGAGAUUGCACUCUGCGCAGUGUACUCGACGACGACAACGACGCUGUAAACGUGGCAAACAACCGUCGUGUUUAACGACGACAUUAAGAUAUCGCGAUAAACGAUCGCGGGAUUGAAGAAGAGACCGUACACGCGCGGAGCAAAUUUCACCGGCGAUACAUUCCUCGAAGGAAUUACCUUUUUUAUGGUAUUUCACUCUUAUGGUUCAAGUAAUGUAUUUUUGAUAAAGCGAUAACACGUUCGUUUUAAAAAUUAUUGCUUCUAAUGAAAAAUAUGUACGACAUGUGCGAACUUUGUUUAAGCUUCUCAACAUCUUUAUCUUUAACGUUAUUGCCGCUUCUAAUUUUGUAAUGGAAUACUAGGAAACCUAGAAAAUUUUGGAUGAACUGUGGGAUUUAAAGUUUCCCUUAAAUCGGUCUUCCAAAUGGAACCAUCGGAAUGAUGAAAACUCCACCAUCAUUCGUAGUGCUUUAACGAACGUGGUCGCAACGCGUACCUAAAGUUCUGUUGGACGACACGCGAGUCACGAGCCGGAACGCAAUGUUAACGAGACGCACCGGAUACGAACUACGAGAGCGUUCGCAUGAGCCCCUUCGUCAAGUACGCCGCCGCCGCCCGCAAAGACGUCCCUUUUCUCCUGCGCGGACAAAGAAGAAGGGUGGCGAGAGAUAGUCACGCUCGCCGAGAGUGGAACGGCCCCCUGCAAUCUGCACCGCGCACGCAUUACGCAUGUUUCUGCAGAUGCACGCAUUCAAGGUGCGCUCUUUCUCCCUCUCUCUCUUCCCUUCUCUUUCCGUUCCGUUCGCUCAUGCGGUCCACCGAGGCAUCAUUACGCGAGAUGGUCUUCUUCUUGUUCCUCCAGCAUCGCCACCAGCACAACCACCUUCUCCUCCUCUUCGUCCUCUUCGUCCUCAACCGCCAUCAUCCACCGCGAUCGGUGCGCGCCGAUCUAUUUAUAUCGUAACGCGCCGCCGGCCUGGUAUCGGCGUCGCUCGGCAGCGGUGGAAACUUGAAAAAGAAGCGGGUAAUAGGAUGGCAGAAGAAACGUAACCUUGUACUUGUUACCGCCGCUCGUCGGCGGUCGGCGGUUCUAUACUUUAAGGAAACAUUAUACGUAGGUGCGCGCUUCGUGGAAAUGUGAGCUUAAUGGCAGCGGACGGGGAAUUGCCGCGUAGAUUAGCGCGAGUGCGAUUCUCCGGCGGCCGCGCGACAGACGAGACUCUGACAUCCCGGAGCGACUAUCCAAUCGAGCCAAUGUUCCUUCUGCGAAAACGAUCGUCCGUAAUGCCGCGUAAUGUCGCUCGAUCACGGAAACGCGCAGCGAUAUUUAGUACGGUCGUCGUGGAAUCGUCGUGGAAUCGUCGUCGAGCCAUCGUAGAACGUGGUCAGCUUUCCGCAGAAAGAGAACCGCUAUCUUUAGACCCGCCAACACAAGCUUCAAUUUCAUUCGCGAUUUCGCGGAUGCAUUAUGUCUUUUUUAACGUCAAACUUAGGAGAGACCUCCACCCCCAACAGUAUUUCUUUCCAAUCUUCGCCACCUCGCUCCGUGGCGACCGAGCCGGACUGGGACUUAAUCCACGUAGAAUAAUUUCGCGGAGGCUACAGCGGCUAGCAACGUCGUAUUUUUUCGAGGGAAGACAAGAACGCGCGAAGGCCCGGCCACUAUAUCACGGGCCAUCGGACGGCAGAAGUUAUUACCGGUUUAGGAGUUCGUUGGCUGGCCCUUGUUGGGGCCCCAAGGGCCCAAAAACUCGUUAACAACAGUCUCACCGACGGUCGUAGACUCUCUGUGUCGAGGAGGGGAAAAAAAACGGGGAGAAAGAGGGAUGGCGAAAAAGCGAAACGGUGUACGAAGGGGGCGAGCGCGAAAAAUACGGCGUUAGGGGCCCACGAAAGCCCGCUAGAGCGGACCAGCGAGAGAGAAUAUGGGGGAUACGUCUUGGAGGUCUUGGAGGUCCCCAAGGUGAAGGUCAAGGUUUGCGGAGCGUGGCGAACGCGCAAACGAAGCAGAACGCGCGCUGACACGGCGACAACCCGCGAGCGGAGGGAAGGAUGACUUUGCGGCUCCGCGACUCCGGUAGCAAGCACCACCGUCGUCAAUCUUUUAUCGAACGAUUCGACAAACGGCGCAGUUGCUUAAUCGAAGUGGCGUCUAUGUCCUUGCCGAAAACGGCGACAAAUCUGGACGAGGUUUUGCAUUCUACCUCAAGACGAUUAAUAGAAUCAAAAAGACCGUCUUGAGCAACAUGACAUUUUCUAAGCGUCGAUUAGGAACGAGUGAAGAACAGACGAAGUAUUAAAAGCCACAUCCUAGAACUAAAUAUAUUAUAACCUUUAUUAAAAUAAACAAAAUUAAAAUUAAUUAAUCUCAGACUCACUUCAAGUAUAAGUAUCAAAAACACCAAACCCUUUAGGGGCACCCUUACGAAAA
rnacentral:lncRNA from 1 species